UACGAAGGGGGCUAGCGUUGCUCGGAAUCACUGGCGUAAGCGCACGUAGGCGGAUUGCUAAGUCAGGGGUGAAAUCCUGGAGCCUCAACUCCAGAACUAGCCUUUGAUACUGGCGACCUUGAGUCCGGGAGAGGUGAGUGGAACUGCGAGUGUAGAGGUGAAAUUCGUAGAUAUUCGCAAGAACACCAGUGGCGAAGGCGGCUCACUGGCCCGGUACUGACGCUGAGGUGCGAAAGCGUGGGAGCAAACAGG
rnacentral:rRNA from 1 species